rnacentral:misc_RNA from 1 species
GCUAAGACUGGAUAGGAAGAAAUAAGGCAUCUUUUUUCUUUUAAAAGACCUAGUGAUAGGUAUACUUUAGGAGGGGCUUGCGCCAUAUUAGUUAGUUGGUAGGGUAAUGGCCUACCAAGACGAUGAUGGGUAGCUGGACUGAGAGGUUGAACAGCCACAUUGGGACUGAGACACGGCCCAAACUCCUACGGGAGGCAGCAGUAGGGAAUUUUCGGCAAUGGAGGAAACUCUGACCGAGCAACGCCGCGUGAACGACGAAGUACUUUGGUAUGUAAAGUUCUUUUAUCAAGGAAGAAAAGCAAGUGGUGAACCAUUUGUUUGCCGGUACUUGAUGAAUAAGCCCCGGCUAAUUAUAUGCCAGCAGCCGCGGUAAGACAUAAGGGGCAAGUGUUAUCCGGAAUUAUUGGGCGUAAAGGGUGCGUAGGCGGUCUAGUAAGUCAGUGGUGUAAUGGCAACGCUCAACGUUGUCCGGCUAUUGAAACUGCUAAACUUGAGUUAGAUAGAGGCGAGUGGAAUUCCAUGUGUAGCGGUAAAAUGCGUAAAUAUAUGGAGGAACACCAGAGGCGUAGGCGGCUCGCUGGGUCUUAACUGACGCUGAGGCACGAAAGCGUGGGGAGCAAACAGGAUUAGAUACCCUGGUAGUCCACGCCGUAAACGAUGAGUACUAAGUGUCGGGUUAAACCGGUACUGAAGUUAACACAUUAAGUACUCCGCCUGAGUAGUACGUACGCAAGUAUGAAACUUAAAGGAAUUGACGGGACUCCGCACAAGCGGUGGAUCAUGUUGUUUAAUUCGAAGAUACCCGAAAAACCUUACCAGGUCUUGACAUGUUUUUGCGAAACGGUAGUAAUAUCGUGGAGGUUAUCAGAAACACAGGUGGUGCAUGGUUGUCGUCAGCUCGUGUCGUGAGAUGUUAGGUUAAGUCCUAAAACGAGCGAAACCCUUAUCGUUAGUUGCCAGCACGUUAUGGUGGGGACUUUAACGAGACUGCCAGUGAUAAAUUGGAGGAAGGUGAGGAUCACGUCAAAUCAGCAUGCCCCUUAUGACCUGGGCUACAAACGUGAUACAAUGGCUGUUACAAAGGGUAGCUGAAACGCAAGUUCUUGGCCAAUCCCCAAAAACAGUCUCAGUCCGGAUUGAAGUCUGCAACUCGACUUCAUGAAGUUGGAAUCGCUAGUAAUCGCGAAUCAGCAUGUCGCGGUGAAUACGUUCUCGGGGUUUGUACACACCGCCCGUCAUGAUUUAGCCUUAUUUAACAAAUCAUUGAUUUCAGAAGCUUUAACCAUUUUGUUGUUUACAAAAUUUACUACGUCUGCAUCAUUCCAUUCUUUAGGAGCAGCACUUUCUUCAUUAACAAAUUUUAAUGCAUCAUCAGCUUUUGUUUUUAAAUCAUUUGCUGAUUGCAUUGUUGCGCUAGAGAUUUUUUUAUCUUUAUCAUCUGCUUUGUUAUUUUCUGCAAAUGCAUCUAUUAUUUUUUUUAGACCAUCAACUGCUUUUUGGCCUUCUUUUUUAGCAUCGUCUGAAGAAAGAUCAGCUACUCUUUGUUUUCCACUUAAGUCUUUAAGAUCUACUUUUAAAUUUUCUAUAUCUUUAUUUGUUAAUGUUGUUAUGUUAAAAGGUUUCCAAUGUAAUAAUUUAGCUGCUAUUAGAUAAACAACUAUAGCUAUACCUAAAGAUGCUAACACACCAACUGUAAUUUUGCCGUUUUUAGUUUGUAAAAAAUUUCCUUUAAUUAUUUCUAAUAAUACACGACCUGGUAUUAAAUUUUAAAGAGAUGCUGAUCGUUUCGCUAAAUCCUUAAAAUCUGAACAUUAUUUAAUCGAUUUAGAAUCCAAAACUAUUGAAUUGACUGAAGAAGGUAUUCGUAAAGCAGAAUUAUUUUUUAAAAUUAAUAAUUUAUAUAGUAAUAAAAAUUCUUUUUUAUUACAUUUCAUAAAAAACGCUUUAAAAGCUUGUUUUAUUAUGGAAAAAGACAAAGAUUAUUUAGUACAAAAUGAUAACAUUGUAAUUAUUGAUCCAUUUACAGGUCGCGCUUUGAUUGGUCGACAAUUUAGUGAUGGUUUGCAUCAAGCUUUAGAAGCGAAAGAAAAUUGUCUUAUUAAAGCAGAAACUGAAACAUCUGCUAUGAUUACAUAUCAAAAUUUAUUUCGAAAUUAUAAAUUGAUAUCCGGCAUGACAG